rnacentral:rRNA from 1 species
UACGUAGGCAGCGAGCGUUGUUCGGAGUUACUGGGCGUAAAGGGUGUGUAGGCGGUCGUUUAAGUUUGGUGUGAAAUCUCCCGGCUCAACCGGGAGGGUGCGCCGAAUACUGAAUGACUUGGAGUGCGGGAGAGGUGAGUGGAAUUCCUGGUGUAGCGGUGAAAUGCGUAGAUAUCAGGAGGAACACCGGUGGUGUAGACGGCUCACUGGACCGUAACUGACGCUGAGACACGAAAGCGUGGGGAGCAAACAGG